rnacentral:misc_RNA from 1 species
CCAAACUUGGUCAUUUAGAGGAAGUAAAAGUCGUAACAAGGUUUCCGUAGGUGAACCUGCGGAAGGAUCAUUAUUGAUUUUUAAAGGAUGUUGCUGGCUCCUUUGGGGGCACGUGCACUCCUAACAAAAACCAAUAUCCACCUGUGCACCUCUAGUAGGCAAAAGAAGACCUUUAACCAGGUCCUUUUGUCUAUGUCUCUAUCACAAACGCUUGAUCUAUUUGAAUGUCUAAUACAACAAAUAGUAUUUGUAAUACAACUUUCAGCAAUGGAUCUCUUGGUUCUCGCAUCGAUGAAGAACGCAGC